rnacentral:rRNA from 1 species
UACGUAGGGUCCGAGCGUUGUCCGGAUUUAUUGGGCGUAAAGAGCUCGUAGGCGGUUCCGUAAGUCAGAUGUGAAAACUCAGGGCUCAACCCGGAGACGCCAUCUGAUACUGCGGUGACUGGAGUCUGGUAGGGGAACACGGAAUUCCUGGUGUAGCGGUGAAAUGCGCAGAUAUCGGGAGGAACACCUAUGGCGAAGGCAGCUCGCUGGGACGUUACUGACGCUGAGACGCGAAAGCGUGGGGAGCAAACAGG